UACUCGAAAGAGUAGCUAAUACCGCAUACGAUCUGAGGAUGAAAGCGGGGGACCUUCGGGCCUCGCGCGAUUGGAGCGGCCGAUGGCAGAUUAGGUAGUUGGUGGGAUAAAAGCUUACCAAGCCGACGAUCUGUAGCUGGUCUGAGAGGACGACCAGCCACACUGGGACUGAGACACGGCCCAGACUCCUACGGGAGGCAGCAGUGGGGAAUUUUGGACAAUGGGCGAAAGCCUGAUCCAGCAAUGCCGCGUGCAGGAUGAAGGCCUUCGGGUUGUAAACUGCUUUUGUACGGAACGAAAAAGCUUCUCCUAAUACGAGAGGCCCAUGACGGUACCGUAAGAAUAAGCACCGGCUAACUACGUGCCAGCAGCCGCGGUAAUACGUAGGGUGCGAGCGUUAAUCGGAAUUACUGGGCGUAAAGCGUGCGCAGGCGGUUAUGUAAGACAGAUGUGAAAUCCCCGGGCUCAACCUGGGAACUGCAUUUGUGACUGCAUGGCUAGAGUACGGUAGAGGGGGAUGGAAUUCCGCGUGUAGCAGUGAAAUGCGUAGAUAUGCGGAGGAACACCGAUGGCGAAGGCAAUCCCCUGGACCUGUACUGACGCUCAUG
rnacentral:rRNA from 1 species